rnacentral:rRNA from 1 species
GACAGAGGGUGCAAACGUUGUUCGGAAUUACUGGGCGUAAAGCGUGCGCAGGCGGUUAUGUAAGACAGUUGUGAAAUCCCCGGGCUCAACCUGGGAACUGCAUCUGUGACUGCAUGGCUAGAGUGCGGCAGAGGGGGAUGGAAUUCCGCGUGUAGCAGUGAAAUGCGUAGAUAUGCGGAGGAACACCGAUGGCGAAGGCAAUCCCCUGGGCCUGCACUGACGCUCAUGCACGAAAGCGUGGGGAGCAAACAGG